GGGCGAGAGUAGUACUAGGAUGGGUGACCUCCUGGGAAGUCCUCGUGUUGCAUUCCUUUUUUUUGUUUGUUUUUUCAAAAGAAAGGUCUUUCUUUUUAUUUUUGGCCGUUCCUUUGUCAUAUUUUCUCCGCGUUCCUAGGCGGCGCCGUCGAAGGAGCUAUGGGCGGGCCGUACACGGAGGCGUUUGUUUUUUCAAAAGAAAGGUCUUUCUUUUUAUUUUUGGCCGUUCCUUUGUCAUAUUUUCUCCGCGUUCCUAGGCGGCGCCGUCGAAGGAGCUAUGGGCGGGCCGUACACGGAGGCGCGGGCAUAAAGGGGAGGAGAACGCACGGUAUGUCGGAUGCGAUCAUACCAGCACUAAAGCACCGGAUCCCAUCAGAACUCCGAAGUUAAGCGUGCUUGGGCGAGAGUAGUACUAGGAUGGGUGACCUCCUGGGAAGUCCUCGUGUUGCAUUCCUUUUAUGUGUUUGUAUUUUCAAAAGAAAGGUCUUCCUUUUGAUUUUUGGCCGUACCUUUGUCAUAUUUUCUCCGCGUUCCUAGGCGGAGCCGUCGAAGGAGCUAUGGGCGGGACGUACACGGAGGCG
rnacentral:lncRNA from 1 species